rnacentral:lncRNA from 1 species
GGCAGGACGCCGGGAAUAAGGAAGCUCCUGGGGAUUCUGGGAUUUUUCUGCUUUUGGAUUACAGCUCAGGCUCAGAUGAAGAUCCCACCGGAGACGGUGCAGCAGUGGGCGUCUGUGUUCUCCGUCCAGCUUCGAGAGCUCAGCACUAAAUACUCCGGCUCACUGCUGCUGCAGAAGAAACUGAAGGAUGUGGAGUCCAUCAUCAAGAUCGUGCAGGUGAACGGAAACGACCUGGUGAAAGAUUAUUCGGAUGAAAUCGAGCGAAUGUUGGGAAGCAAGAUGAAGUCCGUGAAGGUAAGGACAAACAUUAAAUAUUAAAUAAACAUAUAUAUAUAUAUU